rnacentral:rRNA from 1 species
AACGAACGCUGGCGGCAGGCUUAACACAUGCAAGUCGAACGCCCCGCAAGGGGAGUGGCAGACGGGUGAGUAACGCGUGGGAACAUACCCUUUCCUGCGGAAUAGCUCCGGGAAACUGGAAUUAAUACCGCAUACGCCCUACGUGGGAAAGAUUUAUCGGGGAAGGAUUGGCCCGCGUUGGAUUAGCUAGUUGGUGGGGUAAAGGCCUACCAAGGCGACGAUCCAUAGCUGGUCUGAGAGGAUGAUCAGCCACAUUGGGACUGAGACACGGCCCAAACUCCUACGGGAGGCAGCAGUGGGGAAUAUUGGACAAUGGGCGCAAGCCUGAUCCAGCCAUGCCGCGUGAGUGAUGAAGGCCUUAGGGUUGUAAAGCUCUUUCACCGAUGAAGAUAAUGACGGUAGUCGGAGAAGAAGCCCCGGCUAACUUCGUG